rnacentral:rRNA from 1 species
UACGUAGGCAGCGAGCGUUGUUCGGAAUUACUGGGCGUAAAGAGUGUGUAGGCGGUGCUCUAAGUUCGGUGUGAAAUCUCCUGGCUUAACUGGGAGGGUGCGCCGGAAACUGGGGUGCUCGAGCGUGGGAGAGGAAAGCGGAAUUCCUGGUGUAGCGGUGAAAUGCGUAGAUAUCAGGAGGAACACCUGCGGUGUAGACGGCUUUCUGGACCAUUGCUGACGCUGAGACACGAAAGCGUGGGUAGCAAACAGG